rnacentral:rRNA from 1 species
UCAAAUGAUGAAAGGCUUAUAGUGGAUACCUAGGCACCCAGAGACGAGGAAAGGCAUAAUAAGCGACGAAAUGCUUCGGGGAGUUGAAAAUAAGCGUAGAUAUGGAGAUUCCCGAAUAGGUCAACCUUUCAAACUACUGCUGAAUCCAUGGGCAAGCAAGAGACAACUUGGCGAACUGAAACAUCUUAGUAGCUAGAGGAAAAGAAAGCAAAAGUGAUUCUCGUAGUAGUGGUGAGCGAAAUGGGAGUAGCCUAAAUCGUGAAAACGGGGUUGUGGGAGAGCAAUACAAGCGUUGUGCUGCUAGGCGAAGCGGUGGAAUACUGCACCUUAGAUGGCGAUAGUCCAGUAGCCGAAAGCAUCACUAGUUUACGCUCUGACUCGAGUAACAUGGGGCACAUGGAAUCCCGUGUGAAUCAGCAAGGACCACCUUGCAAGGCUAAAUACUCUUGGGUGACCGAUAGUGAAGUAGUACCGUGAGGGAAGGGUGAAAAGAACCUCCAUCAGGGAGUGAAAUAAAACAUGAAAUUGUAAGCUCCCAAGUAGUGCGAGGAGCCCGGGGCUCUGACCACAUGCCUAUUGAAGAAUGAGCCAGUGACUCAUAGGCAGUGGCUUGGUUAAGGGAACCCAUCGGAACCGUAGCGAAAGUGAGUCUUCAUAGGGCAAUUGUCACUGCUUAUGGACCCGAGCCUGGGUGAUCUAUCCAUGACUAGGAUGAAGCUUGGGUGAAACUAAGUGAAGGUCCGAAUCGACUGAUGUUGAAGAAUCAGCGGAUGAGUUGUGGUUAGGGGUGAAAUACCACUUGAACCCAGAGCUAGCUAGUUUUCCUCGAAAUGCAUUGAGGCGUAGCAGUUGAUUGGACAUCUAGGGGUAAAGCACUGUUUCAAUGCGGGCUGCGAGAGCAGUACCAAAUCGAGGCAAACUCUGAAUACUAGAUAUGACCUAAAAAUAACAAGGGUCAAGGUCGGCAAGUGAGACGAUGGGGGAUAAGCUUCAUCAUCGAGAGGGAAACAGCCCUAAUCACCCGCUAAGGCUCCUAAAUGAUCGCUCAAUUAUAAAGGAAGUAGGGGUGCAGAGACAGCUAGGAGGUUUGCCUAGAAGCAGCCACCCUUGAAAGUGUGCAUAAUAGCUCACUGAUUGAGCGCUCUUGCGCCGAAGAUGAACGGGGCUAAGUGAUUUGCCGAAGCUAUGGGAUGUAAAAAGGCGUCGGUAGGGGAGCGUUUCAUCUUAGAGGGAAGCACCUGCGCGAGCAGUGGUAGACGAAGUGGAAGCGAGAAUGUCAGCUUGAGUAACGUAAACAUUGGUGAGAAUCCAAUGCCCUGAAAACCUAAGGGUUCCUUUGUAAGGUUCAUCCACGGAGGGUGAGUCAGGGCCUAAGAUCAGGCCGAAAGGCAUAGUCGAUGGACAACAGGUGAAUAUUCCUGUACUUCCCCUUGUUGGUUCCGAGGGAUGGAGGAGGCUAGGUUAGCCGAAAGAUGGUUAUUGAUUCAAGGACGCAAGGUGCCCUUGCUUUUUCAGGGUAAGAAGGGGUAGAGAAAAUACCUCAAGCCAAUGUUCGAGUACCAGGUGCUACGGCGCUGAGGCACUGAAGUAACCCAUGCCAUACUCCCAGGAAAAGCUUGAAUGACCUUCAACAAAAGGGUACCUGUACCCGAAACUGACACAGGUAGGUAGGUAGAGAAUACCUAGGCGCGCGAGACAACUCUCUCUAAGGAACUCAGCAAAAUAGCCCUGUAACUUUGGGAGAAGGGGUGCCUCCUUACAAAAGGGGUCGUAGUGACCAGGCUCGGGCGACUGUUUACCAAAAACACAGGUCUCCGCAAAGUCGUAAGACCAUGUAUGGGGGUUGACGCCUUCCCAGUGCUAGAAGGUCAAGGAAGUUGGUGACCUGAUGCCAGGGGAGCCAGCAACCGAAGCCCCGGUGAACGGCAGCCGUAACUAUAACGGUCCUAAGGUAGCAAAAUUCCUUAUUGGGUAAGUUCUGACCCGCACGAAAGGCGUAACGAUCUGGGCACUGUCUGGGAGAGAGACUCGGUGAAAUAGACAUGUCUGUGAAGUUGCGGACUACCUGUACCUAGACAGAAAGACCCUAUGAAGCUUCACUAUUCCCUGGGAUUGGUUUUGGGCCUUUCCUGCGCAGCUUAGGUGGAGGGCGAAGAUGGCCCCCUUCUGGGGGGGCGAUAGCUGUCAGUGAGAUACCACUCUAGAAGAGCUAGAAUUCUAACCUUGUGUCAGGACCUACGGGUUAAGGGAUAAUCUUAGGUAGACAGUUUCUAUGGGGCAUAGACCUUCUAAAAUGUAAUGGAGGUGUGCAAAGGUUUCCUCGGGCCAAACGAAGAUUGGCCCUCGAGUGCAAAGGCAAAAGGGAGCUUGACUGCAAGACCCACCCGUCGAGCAGGGACGAAAGUCGGCCUUAGUGAUUCGACGGUGCCGAGUGGAAGGGUCGUCGCUCAACGGAUAAAAGUUACUCUAGGGAUAACAGGCUGAUCUUCCCCAAGAGCUCACAUCGACGGGAAGGUUUGGCACCUCGAUGUCGGCUCUUCGCUACCUAGGGCUAUAGUAUGUUCCAAGGGUUGGGCUGUUCACCCAUUAAAGCGGUACGUGAGCUGGGUUCAGAACGUCGUGAGAUAGUUUGGUCCAUAUCCGGUGUGGGCGUUAGAGCAUUGAGAGGACCUUUCCCUAGUACGAGAGGACCAAGAAGGAUGCACCUCUAGUGUACCAGUUAUCGUGCCCACGGUAAACGCUGGGUAGCUAAGUGCGGAGCAGAUAACUGCUGAAAACAUCUAAGUGGUAAGCCUACCCCAAGAUGAGUGCUCUCCUAUUUCGACUUCCCCAGAGCCUUUGGUAGCACAGCCGAGACAGCAAUGGGUUCUCUGCCCCUGCGGGGAUGGAGCGACAAAAGUUUUGAGAAUUCAAGAGAAGGUCACGACAAGACGAGCCGUUUAUCAUUACGAUAGGUGUCAAGUGGAAGUGCAGUGAUGUAUGCAGUUGAGGCAUCCUAACAUACUAGUAGACUUGAACCU